rnacentral:lncRNA from 1 species
CUGCUAAUUUUAUUGUUAUGAACCUCACUGCACCUAUGAUUUGCUAGGUUUUGGGGCUUUUAUCUUAUAAUAUUUGAUUGUAAGCAUUUCUUAUGCUAGAAAUUGGUAUCUGUAUCAACUAUAAGUUUCCCUGUUCAAGUUUCCUAUUCGUGUUAGAAUAAGGUGAAACUAAAUCACACUUAGGAAGAGGGAAUUAGUCCAAGUGGAUUAUAAGGGUCCAAGAAUGGAAUCAGUCGAUGGAAGUGGUAGAAUAUAUUGAACAAAAUUAUAUAUACUACAGUAAGACACAAAACCGAAAAUUGCUUCAUAUUAAUAAUUAAAAGACAUAGGAAACAACAGGCUUGUGUCCUUGAGCAUCAACCCCAUUAUUCCACUAGCCAUGUGAUACGAAAUCCCUGCUCCAACUCCUAUUUGCUUGUAGAUCAUAGUUAUGUGGGCAACACCAACUCCUAUUUACUUGCAGAUCACAGUUACAUGGGCAACACCUCAACACCUGGCUUGAAUUUCGAUUUGUUGCUACUUUCCUAGUCUUAGGCCACUAUUUGUGUUUCAGUUGUCUGUGCAUCUAUAAAUGCACCUGCAUGAAGUGAAUAAAGGAAAAAACUUCUAUCUCCUAUCUCUCUUGUCCUCUCUCAAAUUAAACUCAUCAUUUGGUAUCAGAGCCAGGUUUAUUCAUGGACACACAAGGGAAAACCAAUGUUGAGUUUCGCAAUAAGGUCAACGAAGCCUUGGCCCGAUGUGAGUCAAGUUUUGAUCAGGUGAAUGCCACUCUAUAGAUGGUUUUGAUGGAGCUCCAAGCUUUGCGAGUAACUCAAAGUUCCAGCCACCCCCAAUCAGAAAUCAACCCCUUUGCACCAGAGGGAUCAACCCACCACUUGCACACCGCUAUCGUAACCACCAAUACUGACCCAUAUCUUCAACAACACCUCAAGCUAAAUUUUCCCAGAUUCAAUGGGGAAGACCCAAUCAGUUGGAUCUAUAGGGCUGAAUAAUAUUUUGAGUUUCAGAAAAUUGCAGUUGAAACCCAAGUUCAGUUUGCCUCCUUCCAUUUUGAAGGAAUCGCACUCCAAUGGCACUGCUGGUUGAUGAAGUUUCGAGGACCCCUUUCUUGGAAUGAUUUCACCAAGACCAUUCUCCUCAGGUUCGGUUCUACCAAAUAUGAAGACCCUUCUGAAGCAUUGUCCCGCCUAAAGCAGACAACUACAGUGGCUACAUACUAGGAGGCAUUUGAGAGACUCUCCCAUCAGGUCGACGGAUUACCUGAGCCAUUUCUCAUCGAUUGCUUUAUUGCAAGGCUGUGUGAUGACAUUUGCCUAGACGUCAAGAUUAAGCAACCACGCACGCUUGUAGCCGCCAUUGGAGUGGCAAGACUAAUUGAAGAGCGCAAUCUCCUUCAAAAGAAAACAACAACUCCUAGUCGUAUCCCAAUGACGACGACGCUACAAAAUGGACCCAACCCUCCAGUGGGAAUUCUUGGCCCCAAUCCAACCCAACAGUCCAACAAUAGCUCAAAUCCUUCCUUAAUGUUAGUUCUUCGAAUCACCAGUCAGGAGGCUCAUGAGCGGAGGGAGAAGAGAUUAUGCUACUAUUGCAAUGAGAAAUACUUCCAAGGACACCGAUGCGAACGACCCUAGUUUUUCAUGAUCGUAGAUACACCACUAGAGGAGGAAGAAACUCUAGACGACAACCAGUAAGGAAUAAAAGAGAUUAACACCUUACCCGAGAUAUCAUUCCAUGCCAUUACCAGGGGUGAACACCUGCAGACUCUCCGUGUUCUAGGCCGAUUGAAGAACAAGUACCUAACUGUCUUGAUCGAUGACAACAACACUCAUAAUUUCAUCGAUCAAAUAGUUGUCUCCAGAUUCGGAUUGCUAGUAGUAAGGGAGAAGAAAAUCCAGGUGGUCGUGGCGAAUCAAGAAUGGAUCGAGUGUAUGGGGCAAUUUCUAGGACUUACGCUCAUCAUCCAAGAAAUUCCUGUCACUGCAGACUACUACAUCCUACCAAUGGCAGCUUGUCAGGUGGUCUUGGGGGUCCAGUGGUUGGAGACUCUAGGUUCAAUUGAAUCAGACUAUAAGGCUCUCACUAUGUCAUUUAAAUUGGGAGGCGCUAGGCACACUUUCCAUGGGGUAAGAUGCAUUGUUGUAAUUUUUAACAUUAAGGCUUUGGAUGACAGGGAAUGUACAAAUCUACGGGGCACAUGAUUUUUUUUUUCAAAUUAUUCCUGUCCAUAACCAGUCCCCUUCACAUCGACGAUCGCCAGAAAUGGAAGAGUUGUUGAACCAAUAUGCUCGGGUUUUCGAGAAGCCAAACAACCUGCCUUCCAAACGCCAUAUGAUCAUCGAAUUCCACUACUGCCCAACAUCGAACUAGUUAGUGUGAGACCAUACUGAUAUUCCUACUACCAGAAGGUAGAAAUAGAGCGGAUGGUGGUUAAAAUCCUUUGUUCAGGACUAAUUAGACCAAGUACUAGCCCUUUCUCCUCACCAGUGUUGUUGGUCAAAAAGGUAGAUGGAUCUUGGAGGUUUUGUGUCAACUACAGGGCUUUGAAUAGUAUCACCAUCAAGGACAAGUACCCUAUUCCAAUGAUUGAUGAGUUAUUGAAUGAACUCUAUGGGGCCAAGUUCUUCUCUAAAUUGGAUUAAAGAUUAGGAUACCACCAAAUCCGAAUGCAAGCAGAAGAUAUUCUGAAGACUUCCUUUAGGACCCACAAAGGACACUAUGAAUUCGUGGUCAUGCCCUUCGGGCUAACCAAUGCCCUAACAACUUUUCAAGGCCUCACGAACGAUUUUUUUUUGUUCCCAUCUCUGGAAAUUCAUCCUCGUAUUCUUCAACGACAUAUUGGUAUACUCCAAGUCUUGGAAGGAUCAUUUAUUGCAUCUACAGAUUGUUUUUGAUAUACUGUCCAUUAACCAACUAUUUGUCAAAGAAUUAAAAUGUCAAUUUGGAGUUACACAGGUCACCUACCUAGGCCAUAUUAUUAUAGAAAAAAGAAUAUUUGUUGACCCCAAGAAAAUACAAGCAGUAGUCACUUAGCCUAAGCCCACUACAACCAAAGAAGUACGUGGGUUCUUACGCUUAGCAGGGUACUAUAAAAAAUUCAAAAGCCAUUUUGGCAGCAUGGUAGCAUCCUUAACCAAACUCCUGACCAAGGACCAAUUCGAGUGGAGCAGUGAAGCAAAAGACGCCUUCCACAAAUUAAAAGAGGCAUUGACCAAUCCACCAACCUUACGUUUUCCAAACUUCACUCAACGGUUUGUGAUCGAAUGUGAUGCAAGUAGGACCGGGAUAGGGGCAAUUCUUACUCAAUACAACGACCCUGUGGCUUAUUUCAGCGAAACUUUAAAAAGAUCUGCUUUGGCACUAUCCACCUAUGAGAAAGAAAUCACUAUAAGAAAAAACGCUAACCAUGACGCUUUUUAAGUGUCAAGAAAUACAUUCAAUGGCGCUUCCCCAAAGCAUCAUCUACUAGCCUGUCAUAAUAAGUAUUUGCCUACAAUGACGCUUCUAGAAAACGUCAUUGAAAAGAACCUUGACGCGUAAAAAAAGUGUCAUCAUUAGUCAUAUCAAACUACAUUGACACUUUUAUAAGCGUCAUUGUUGAGUAGAAGAAACCUUGACACUUUCUAUAAGUGUCAUUGUUUAGCAGUUUCAAAUAUUAAAGUAUAAGGACACUUCUAGAAAGCGCCAUUAAAGAGAACCUUGACACUAAAAAAAGUGCCAUUGUUAGUUGUUUACACUACCUUGACACAUUUAUUAGUGCCAUUAUUGGGUUGUAUAAAUGUUAUUGAUGGUUACUCUCAUUCCUUGAAACUUAGUCAAAACAUCAAGGAAGAUAAUUGUUUAAUUUUAAAUUUAGUUUUAAUUUAAUAAUUGUUGCACCUAAUUUUUCACCUGCUAUUAAAAUAAUGCAUACACAUAAGAAAAAAAGUAUGUACCAAUGAAAUUAGUUGUUGCACCUAAUUUUUCACCUGGUAAUACAUUCCAAAUUGCAGUAUUUAAUCACAAAUAGAGAACUUGUAUUUCAUAAAUAAGAAACACAAAAAAAAAAAGCUAAAAUAUAUUAAAAAAACAAAAAAAAUUCACAACUUUAAUGUUUAGUCCCUUAACAUAGUCCAUUUUUUCUUUACAUGCAACCCAAUUGUGCUUUGCUUCAACAUACUCCUUCAUACUAGCUUAUCCAACUACAAGGUUAAUUUCCCAAAAAGAUGACCUACAUGCACAAAAAACCUAAAAUCAAUUACAAUUUUAGAAAAUAUAUAUAUAUAUACAAGUGAAUACUUCUAGAAAUAGAGAGAAAGAAAUGACAAUCAAAAUAUAAUAGGAAAACAAAUGUGUAUACCAAUUGAUAUAUGUGACACUAAGAAUAAUUACAACAAAAUUACUAUCAAUAGUUAAAACACAAAGCAAGAGAUUAAUCAAAUAAGGGACAAGAGAACAUCAACAUCAAUAAUCCAUUAAAUCUUUUAGCCCAAAAGAAAAUAGAAAAACAAACCAAGUUUGGGACAAGAGAAUAUCAACAUCAAUAGUCCAUUAAAAUAUUCAAUUAGACAUCAUCUAAUAGUAAUAGGCCUCAUCGAAUGCGCAACAUUGACAAAGAAAGGUUUGGGAAUAUGGUGUAACAUGAAAUAAAUAAGGUUCACACCAUGAUACUUUAUCAACUAAGUUUUUUGUUAAGUUAAAAGAAUUAACAUUUCCCACCAUCUGAGAUGCAUUGCAACAUUGCAUCCAAAAUAGUAGCCAAUUGUAUCAUACUUAUCAUUCAUCUUAUUUAUCACUAUCAAGGCUAGCAACAACUAUAUAAAUUCCACAACCUAAUAAUAAAUAAAUUGGCCUGUAUAAAAAAUGUAGAGAAGAAUAUCUGCAACUUAAUAGAAGAUAAACAUCUUCUAAUGAUGAACACAUAGUAUUCACAAAGCCAUAGGUGUUUACACAUACACAUAAAUAAAUAAAUAAGCAAAUAGUAUUCACAUAAACAUGAAAAAAUCCAAUGAAAAGUAUAGAUGUUUCUUCAAUGGGACUUCAAAGCCAUAGGACAAAUAGUAGACUAUAUCUUCUAUGUAAUUUUAACUGAAAGAAAAAUUGCAAAUAUCCUAUAACACAGUUGAAAUUCCAAGAUUGAUCCACCUACUAAAAUUAGUUAUAUUAUUUAAUAAUAAAAUUUUUUAAAAUAUACUACAUUUAUAGAAAUAUUAAACAAUUUUCCACUUCAUAAAAGUAGUGCAUAAUAUUUAUUAUCAAAAUAAAGGAGAAUAUUUUUUUUUACUUCUAUUAUAGAAAAUAAAGAUUACAUACAAAAGACUUGUCUUCUCAUCAAGUACCAUAUUUAGAUUUGUAAAUAAUCAAUUUUUUUUUAUAUAUAAAGUACCCAAUUAUACUUCCAAAUUCAUGAACAAGUUUGAAUCAUGUUUUCAAGAAAGAAAAAACCUAAAACAAAAAAACAAAAAAAACAACAAAAUAGAAAAGGCAUUGCUUUAUGAAAUAGUUUAGAAGAGUCAAUUCUUUCAAGGAGUACAAGACUCCACUUAAAAUAGCAAUAAUUUUUAAUUUCCAAAAACCCACAUAGGUCUUGACACAGGUUCAGCCAAAUGACAUAACCCAUGGCCAAUGAGAGAGCCCAGUUCAAGCCAUAUUGCAACUUUUUUCACAUGACCACAUGAAAUUUAAAAGCACUCACCUUCCUCAAAAUAACAACAUCAAGAUCGAUUUGCUCUAUUGUUAAUUCUUCAACUUCUAAAACAGCUUUUGGAAUAACUUGGUAAAAAAUUUGACAUAAUCUCUGACUGCACAUACAAUUUUAUUAUUCACUUAUUACAUGCCCAAAUUAACAACAUUAUUUGCAACAUGAAUGAAAAAAGAGAAAGAUGGAAAGGAACAAAGCCCAAAAAGAAACAAUACUAUAAAUCUUUUAAUGUCCUUAAGAAGUGAAAUUAUAUAUUUUAUUCAACAUCCCACACACAGAAAAAAUAAAACUGAAAAUGCAUUACUAAAAUCAAUUAAUCAUGGCAUAACCAAUUUUCUAACAGCCCAAUACAUAUUUAUGAUUCUGCAUUUUUAGAGAGAGAAAACGCAUGGAGUAGAAAGAGGGAAAAGUGUGUACAUUGUCAUUUAGAGAAGAGCAACAACAAAAGAUUCAAAUUUGGAUUAAGAGUAUGUUACCUAAAAAAAUAAAUCAAAUUAAAUACAAUGAGCUAGCACCCUUGUUUUUUUUCCCUCUGCUUCUUCAUUAAUUAUCUUCCAUCAUCCUCAUUGACUAUUGUGUGUCAUUUUGUUGACCUACUUUUUUUUCUCUCAAUAUUUUAGAAUUUAAAAUAACAAAUAAUCUACCUAUAAUGAAAGAAAAAUAAAUUCAUUUUUAUUAAACAAUAUAACACCCUUUAAAUCAUUUUUAUUUCUCAAUAUUUCUAAAAGAUUGUUUCUUGUUAUAAAAGAUUAUUAUGUUUCUUGUACUAAGGAUUAUUACGAAAUUCAUAUUAAUCCAAAGUUAAGAAAAGGAGGAUAACAAUAAUAUAAUGUUUUUACUAUGAGUGUGUAUCAAAAAGUAAUUUAUUAGGAAUCAAAAAGUAGUGUAUGGAAACAAAAUCUGACUACAAGAUGAUUGAAAACUUUUGGGGCAAUAAUUUAUUAGGGAUAGUUCAAGUCCCAUCUCUUACAAAUUAGAACAUUGAAUCAAAAUAUCUUGGAGGAAAUAAAUACAAUCAAAAUUAUCAUGACACAUGAGACAACACUAACAAAAAAUAGAGAGGUUUUGUAUUCAGAGCAGUGCGACACAUUAGACCACAAAAUAAGCAAGCUUUGAAAGUACUUCUCCAUGAAGUUCGUGCUUAUGUAGCCUCCAACAGCUCUCCUCUUCCAUGCCAUUGGUUAACCACCAAACUUUGCUAAAUUCAAAAGCUAAGAUGUGAAAGAAAUUGCUAACAUUCUAAAAAUUCGCCCCAACCUUUAGGAAUUCAACAAUUGGACUUAAAGUUAAAAUUAUUCUCUACAGUGUACUAGCCCACAUCUAAUCCACAGCAAAAUCACAAGAAAUGCCUACAAUAAAUUUGUAAGUAUAAUUGUUUUUUAUUUAUUGACUUAAAUAUACUUAUCAUUUAAAAAUCUAAAAGCAACAAGGUUUCAGUGAUUUUAGAAAAAGUGAAUGUGUUACAAGAAAUAACAAUCCAAAGUUUAAUAUAUAGUAAUUAAAUUUUACUUCUAAUAAUAAUAAAAUUCAUAAUAAUUUUCAUAUUAGAAGAAUUGGAGAUAGUUAAUAAAAAAAAGAAGAAAAGAUAUAGAUUAAGUUGGAUAUAUAAUUAAUAAGAAUAAUCUAUAUAGUUAACACCUUUAAAGCAAUUUAUUUGUGCAUAUACAUUAAUUGAAAUUAAUAUACUUAUAAAAAAGUCAAAUUUAAUUAAUUUCUUGUCUUAAAUUAAGUUAGAUUAAUGAGCAUUUCUUAUGCUGUAAUUUAUCUUUGCUAUUAUUUUGUUAUAUUUGCUUCAUUAUUUUAUGAAUAAAACAUAUAUAGCAUUUUCAUAGCUAAGGUUAUUAAUGUAUAAAAAGAGAAAAAGGGAAACACUUACAUAGCAACACGCUUUCUUUUUCAGUUUCACAUUAAAAAUCUAAUUGUUCACAGUACCCAAGUUUCAUAUGUAUUCCCCCAUCCAAGUUUCAUAUGAUAAAAGAAAAAAGAAAAGAAAAUAUAAAAUUAUAAAUUAUGCAUAUAGAUAAAUACAUCUGAAAACCAUAAACUUAAUUGAAGCAUAUGAAUGUUAUGUAGUUAAUCUAGGAAACUAUAGGAUAAAACAAAAAAAAAAAAAAAAAAAAUAGUUGGAGAAUAUUCAGUCCACCAUGCAAGGCUGCUCGGCAUUCAGGUAUCGUUGGAAUUGUGCUUCAACUAGAAUUUUUAGUUACCUUAUAUUGUCUAUACCACAAAUCAAUCCAAGUCCAAAAUCACCAAUGCUAAUGCACAGAUAUCUCGAUUUUCCAUGCCAUUCGUGCAUGUGAGGAAGUAUUAUUGGUCAUGUUUUUCAUAAAAAUAAAAAAUAAAAAUUCACUUGUUACUGUUUGUCUAUGUGUUUCAAAACCUCAAUCUUUCUUAAUUUCUUUUCACUUCGAUUUAACCUUCUCCCACAUUAUUUAGAGAGGGGAAGUUCCCUAAAAUAGUCCUAUUGCAUGCAAAAAUAGACCAAAAAUGCAUCAUUGAGGAGAAAUAACCUUAUUUGAAGUUAAGUUCAUGAUUGCUAGUGAAUUAUUGGAGAAUUAGACUUAAAAGGUCUCACCUAGAAAGCCUAGUUGAGAUUUUCUGUCAUUGACAUUUUGGCCAUAGAUAACCAACACAUCUCCAAAAUGUACUAUUUCUAUUGAUUAUACACAGUUGGCAAUAGAAGUGAAUAACAAAAUGCCCAACAUGUACCGGCUAGACUACUUGGCAUUAGCAUUGGAAAUAAACAUGGAAUAUAAACAAGAAAAGAAGAAAUAAAAAUAAAUUGAAAAUAAUGAUAUAACACAUAUAGAUACAUAUUUUGGGGUUAAAUGUGACCCAUCUUCAAACAGUGGAGGAGCAGCAAGAAAAGAAAGAAAAAAAAAAAAAAGAGGAAUCUGACGACAAUCAGGAGUGUUGUUGAUCUGCAGAGACAAGUGUUUAAUCUAAUAGUCAAAAAAAUGGUUGCUCUUAAGAAUAGGCUUCUGCUUGCUCCCCAGAAAUUAUUAAAAGUCAUAACAAGAUAAAUUUCAUCUACUUCUCAACAAAACACUAAAGUUGAAUUCUUUUUUCAAAAUAAUAAUAAUAAUAGUCAUGGAGCCUCAAAUACAACCAAAACAGAGGAUUGGGGUUGAAUUGGGAAGAUUGCAAUUCCAAAUUAUAUCUUCCCGAUUUUACUUGGAUUUCUUAAUAAUAAAUGAAAACAUUGACACAAAACCACAAAAGAAUAAAGAAAUGAAAAUGAUAAAUUAAAAGAACCAAGCAAUAGAGACUUUGAUUUCUCGAGUGCGAAAUUGCGAAGGCUGUGACACCAUCAGAAAAAAAAUAAAAAAUUAUAGAAGCUUUACCUUCAGAAAAGGGAUUUACUUGUGCUGAUUAUUUGAAGGAGUUCCCAAUAUCUUGGUGGUGGCAAAUCAGUUAGGGCAUCUCACUACUGGAGAUCAUCUAUGAAAAAGGGUUAGGGCUUCUUCAUUUGAGAUUUCUCCAGUGAUGAAGGUUGUCCGUGGUAGUUGUUUUCUGGUGAAAAAUCAUCACAAUACCCAGUAAACAUAGAGAUUCAACUUACCAAUAAUAUUUAUUGAGGUUAUCGACUUAAUAGUAGAAGGAGCAUUCCAACUGGUAGUUUUUGUCCCCGAUGAGGCUACAGAUGGGUGUCUACUGGUUGCCAUUGAGUUCAUCAGUUGUCUUUGUUAUGGCUGCUGUUGGUAGAUUGCAAGGCUAGGGUUCUUAUCUAUAAUAUCGAUGGUUUGCGAGGUGGGAGAGAUUGGGAAAAUAGAAGUGUAUAUAUAGGCAUAGAGAUAAUGACAUUUAUUACAAGCGUUAAGGUUGGCAAAUUUUACUCUAGCAGACAAUGACACUCCAAAAAAAACAUCUUAUUUAAAGCGCCAAUGAAACCUUUGAAGAAGUGCCAAUAUUUAGGUAAAUUUCGUAAGCGUCAAUAUAUUUAUUCAAGAAGCGUCAUUGUUAGCCAAAUUUCUAUAAGUGCCAUGAUUAAUACAAUUCCUUGACAUUUUUUACCAGCGUCAAGAAAAUGAACGUCAUUGAAUACAUUUUUUGUAGUAGUGAAUGCUGGCAGUUGUCAAGGCAAUAAAAAAGUGAUGUUCCUACUUGUUGGGUAAACCAUUCACAGUUCGCACUAACCACCGGAGCCUUAAAUAUCUACUGGAGCAACGGAUUACCAUUCCCGUACAGACACGAUGGCUGCCCAAAAUCCUUGGGUAUGAUUAUACCAUUGAAUACAAGAAAUGGCCAAAUAAUCAAGUUGCAGACUCUUUAUCUCGUAGAGAAGAAGUCUAUUCCAUCUCAAUUUCUGUUCCAUGUGCAGAAUGGUGGCCAACACUUCAGAGAGAGGUCCUCCAGGACCAUUUUUACACCAACUUGGAGAAUAGGCGUGCUUCACAUAAACUUGUGUAGCGCAACGGGGUUUGGUUCUAUGAUGGGAAGGUUUAUCCGAGCCCUUCAUCCACCCCGCUCUUGUUGAUAUUGGAAGACAACCACUCUUCCCCAACAGGUGGUCACUUUGGGUUUCAUAAGACACUACACCGAAUUGGCAGAAGCUUUGUGUGGCCUAAUAUGUGAUUAAUGGUGAAGAAGUUUCUACAAACUUGUGAGGUGUGCCAACAAUACAAGGCCAAUUGUAUGAAACCAACAGGUCUCCUCCAACCCCUGUCGAUUCCAACUCAAAUAUGGUCAGAUAUUUUGAUGGGCUUCAUUGAAGGGUUGCCCAACUCCAAUGGUCAUUCUGUCACCAUGGUCGUUGUGGAUCGUCUAUCAAAAUAUGCCCACUUCAUCCAUCUUAAGCAUCCUUACAUGACGGUCAUAGUUGCAAAACCGUUUGUCUCUGGUUCAACUCCAUGGCAUUCCUACAUCCAUCGUCAAUAAUAGAGACAAGGUCUUCACAAGCACCUUUUGGUAGACCUUAUUCCAGUUGUAAGGGACUAAAUUGAAUAUGAGCUCCAGCUACCACCCACAAACUGAUGGCCAAAUUGAAGUUGUCAACUGCACCUUGGAGUAGUAUAUGUGGUGUUUUGCAAGACUACAACCGAAGAAAUGGAUAGAAUGGAUUCCAUGGGCAGAGUUUAGUUACAACACCUCCACCCAUUCCUCCACCAAAUUCAGCUCAUUCGAAACAGUUUAUGGGGUGCCUUCCCCAAGCUUCCUUUCUUACAUACCGGGCACAACUCGUGUUAUGGCGGUGGAUGAAUAUCUCCAAGAUCGGGAUGCAAUCUUGAAGGAGUUACGUCACAAUCUUUGGAUGGCACAAGAUAUAAUGAAAAGCCAUACAAACCAACGUGAUGAGAUAUUCAGUUCAAUGUUGGAGACUUCAUUUAUGUGAAGUUGCAGCCUUACUGCCAGACUUCAGUGGCUUUCAAGAAGUCUUUAAAACUUUCUCCUAUUUUUUUUGGCCCAUACCAAAUUAUAGAGAAGGUCGGACCAGUGGCUUAUAGACUAUUUCUUUCCGCCGGGUCCAACAUUCAUGACCUAUUUCACGUCAGCCUCUUAUGCAAGAAUUUGGGGUCAAUCACCCCCACAUCCGCUCAACUCCCACCAGUUUUGGACGCAUCCACACUAUUGCCACAACCGGAGUCCAUCCUAGCUCAGCGCGUGAUUCAUAAAGGGAAGAAUAGACCUAGCACCGAAUUUUUGGUGAAGUGGUUGGGCGCACCAAUUGAAGAUGCCACUUGGGAGAACACGUGGCGAUUCUCCAAAGCAUACUCGAAGUUCCAUCCUUAAGGACAAAGAUGCUUCGAGGAACAGGGAAAGAUAGGAAAUCCCUGCUCCAACUCCUAUUUGCUUGCAGAUCAUAGUUAUGUGGGCAACACCAACUCCUAUUUACUUGCAGAUCACAGUUACGUGGGUAACACCUCAACACCUGGCUUGAAUUUUGAUUUGUUGCUACUUCCCUAGUCUUAGGCCCUAUUUGUGUUUUAGUUGAUGUUUCAGUUGUCUGUGCAUCUAUAAAUGCACCUGCAUGAAGUCAAUAAAGGAUAACAAAAUUCAAAUCUUCUAUCUUCUAUCUCUCCUGUCCUCUCUCAAAUUAAACUCAUCAGCAUGUUGCCAUAGAAGUGGGUAUAAGGAAGCAUAUUUCGAUCAUCCAAGGACAUUGGGUUUGACUUCACCAACAAAGCUCAGAGUUGAUACAACAAACCAUGUAAACUUAAACCUGUUACUUCAUUGAAUGAGUGCCAUAAAAAAUGGUAAAUUUUUAAUGAUAGGAAAAAAAAAACUUAUUAGGCGUUUAUCAUUUCAAAAUUUUCAAAGAUAAUUAUUUUAAAAAUAUUGAGCAAUGUUUCUAAUUCUUCUAAAAUCAAAUCCCAAAUAAACUUCAAAAUUAUGAUAGCAUGUAAAUGACUGUAGAAUAACAUACCAUUAGGAUAUUCUUAAUUUGUGUGAAACAAUAAAAAAAAUAUCACCAUGCACCCAUUUUGACUCAAUUGCUUUGGACAACUCAUGAGUUUUUUUUUUUUUUUUAAAUAAAAAAAACCCUUGUCUUUUAAAAGGAAAAAGAAUCCAUAAGCCUAAGUUUGAACAUCAUAUUAAUGAGAUGAACAAGGUUUUGAAACAUUAAAAUUUUACAAAUUUGUUGAAGUGUGCCCAAACUACCUCUCAUAGGAACAACAGUAGAAUGACAUAAAGAAAACUAGGACUGUUUCACAAAAUCGAAGGAAUAUCUUUGUGGGAAGAGAAUAAAGAGAACAAAGAGGAUGCACAUAUUCAAAAUUUGUGGCUGAGCUAUUUAAACCUUUCAUUGAUACUGGUUGAGCUUCUCUCUGUAUUCGUAGGGUGUGUCCCCUCCUCUUUUGGCACUUUUUAAUGCAUGUUCUUG